rnacentral:rRNA from 1 species
UACGUAGGGGGCAAGCGUUGUUCGGAAUUACUGGGCGUAAAGCGUGCGUAGGCGGUUGGUUAAGUCUGUCGUGAAAGCCCUGGGCUCAACCUGGGAAUGGCGAUGGAUACUGGCGAGCUAGAGUGUGAUAGAGGAUGGCGGAAUUCCCGGUGUAGCGGUGAAAUGCGUAGAGAUCGGGAGGAACAUCCGUGGCGAAGGCGGCCAUCUGGAUCAACACUGACGCUGAGGCACGAAAGCGUGGGGAGCAAACAGG